rnacentral:rRNA from 1 species
UACGUAGGGUGCAAGCGUUGUCCGGAAUUAUUGGGCGUAAAGAGCUCGUAGGUGGCCUGUCGCGUCGGCUGUGAAAACUCGGGGCUCAACUCCGAGCUUGCAGUCGAUACGGGCAGACUAGAGUGUGGUAGGGGAGAUCGGAAUUCCUGGUGUAGCGGUGGAAUGCGCAGAUAUCAGGAGGAACACCGGUGGCGAAGGCGGAUCUCUGGGCCAUAACUGACGCUGAGGAGCGAAAGCAUGGGGAGCGAACAGG